GACGAACGCUGGCGGCGUGCUUAACACAUGCAAGUCGAACGGAAAGGCCCUGCUUUUGUGGGGUGCUCGAGUGGCGAACGGGUGAGUAACACGUGAGUAACCUGCCCUUGACUUUGGGAUAACUUCAGGAAACUGGGGCUAAUACCGGAUAGGAGCUCCUGCUGCAUGGUGGGGGUUGGAAAGUUUCGGCGGUUGGGGAUGGACUCGCGGCUUAUCAGCUUGUUGGUGGGGUAGUGGCUUACCAAGGCUUUGACGGGUAGCCGGCCUGAGAGGGUGACCGGCAAGAUUGGGAGUGAAGUCCGGACGGGCCUCCGACGGGAGGGAGCAGGGGGGAAGGUGGCAAAAGGGGCGGAGGCCUGAUGACGCAUGGCGGCGGGCGGGAUGAGGGCCUUCGGGUGGUAGACCGCGAACGCGUGUGAAGAAGCGUGAGGGACGGGAAUGGGUAAAGAAGCACCGGACACGUAUGGU
rnacentral:rRNA from 1 species